rnacentral:lncRNA from 1 species
AGAAUAAAAAUAAACUUUCUAGUUAUUUAAACAGAAAUGUACAAUUUGUCAUUUGUAUUUGUUACUAAUUUUAAAAGCAAAAAAAAAAAAAAAAAAAACAGGGGAAGCAACGUCAUCAUCAAAACGAAAAUUAGAAGAAAAAAAAAAGGCGGGUCUUGUCGCGACCACAGUCUAACUGACAUAUGCUCUCUUUCAGAUGCAGGAGAUGCUCUUCUUCAGACGACCGAGAGAAAACUGAGAUUUCGUUUAAUGGAAAUGACAGAAAUAUUGGGUUACACACAGCUUGCAGACAGUUAUAUCAGACGCCCUUCACAGCAUUCUUCUUUCAGGUUCCCGAAUACAUUUUAGCAAUUGCCUUUCAUGGGAGUCAGUAGUUUACUCUUAGGUCAAUUCUGAUCACUAUCAGUAAAAGUUUUAUUAUGACAAAUGCCGUUCUUCUUGUUGCAGUAUGUUAUCGAUUUUGUUUUCUUUCCCGUGUAGAAGGAAUACUGGUGGAUAAACAAUGCGGGUCUGGUGAUGGUUAUAGUUGCGGAAAUCAUACGCAAAAUGGUGAUUAUCACAGCUGGUUGGGCUUUCACGUAUCUCAUCAAGGUCUCUCGUGAGGAACAUCACGAACUGAUUACUCAUGGAGUGCAUAGAUUUGCCAGUCAUCCUAGCUACUGUGGCUUCCACAUUCCGUCAGUUGGUACCCAGAUACUGCUGUGUAAUCCCAUGUCCACAAUUGGAUCUGCAAUUGUUGUUUGUCACUCCUUUGCUGAUAUGAUAACACCUGGAAGAGUAUUUCUUGAGACAGUUUUUUGGAUUACGAUAUGAGGAAUAUGCCUGGCGAGUUCCUUCUGCCAUUUCUGAAGUGAUCAUAUAUGAAUUCGGUGGCCAGGUUUGUUUUUUUCGCCUUUCCAUUUAGUAGGGAAUAGAAUAUAAUAGAAAGUUCAGAGAUUUUUUGAAGCUUAAGAAGAUGUUUGUCAGAAAUUUAGUUAUUGGCUGUAGAGAUCCAUCAUCCCGAGUUAUUUUAGUCCAUUAGGUUCACGAGUUAUUUCUGAUAAUAUAUAUUGCCUGUUGCUGUUAAUUUAGGCAUGGGCCAUGCUUCAUGUUGUGAAAAGAAAGGCACUUCCAUUGCUGUGUUACUCAAUUUGUCAUUUUGAUUUGGAAUGUAGGCAGUCAUGCUGAGUAUUUGAUUGUGUUCACCAUAUAAGCUUGUCUUGUUGUUAUGGAUUUCCGAAGUAAAAGAGUGAUACUUUUCAUUGUUUGUACGGUUGAUUCUAUUAAAAAAUAAAUGCAUAGAUAUUUAUUCUACUUAUUUUGAAAUACAGGAGUUUCAAUAUUGCUUGCACCAGAAUCUUCCUCGUCACGACACUCGUGAUCUUUGCGAGGAUGAGCUAGAGACUUGAUACGGCUUCUUGAUCAGGUCUUCGGUUGAUUGAUUCCUCUGGCACCUCCCCAUCAGUUUGUUAGUUCAAAUCAUCACACGAAACAAGGGUUUGCAAAACAUUCAAAUUAUCAAGAUUCUGGAAGCUAUUCCGGGGUAUAACAUCAUUAACUUUGUUGUUUUUCAGAUCAUAAAAUAGAAGAUCAACAUAAUCGUUCAAGAAAGAACUUGGCUGCCCCCGUUAAAAUAACCUACCGACUUUAUGCGUCCCGGAUUUCUACGACUUAGAGAAUCGGAUUAUCAGCUCGUAGUGGAGAACAAUCAAUUUGAUUUGAUUCAGGUGAAAACGAAAACAAUUUUGUCUAAGAAUCCUUCACGCCAUUUUCUUCAUUAGCAACCACGCACAAACACCCUUCUAAUUCUCCCAACUCCAACUCCAACUCCAUAUAAAACUUGCGGUUACCGUUGCGUUGGUACCCACAAGUUGAUGAAACAGAGGCAGUGGCAGAAGCACCUCUUCGUAGUCCUCAAGGGCUAAACCAAAUGCCACAACCUUAUUACGGCAGUCAUUAUUGUAUCUCCUUAACCAAUGUAAAGAGCACCACUUGCAUAAACCCCAUGUCUUUUAUUGAAAUUAAGGUACGGCAUAUCUCUAUUUUUUCUUUUCCAGGAACCGCUUGCUAGGCUAUAAACUUGAACCUCAGACAACUUAAAAAAGAUCAUCCUGAGACCUUACAAAUCUAACUUGCAAUCAUUAUGAAUAAAAUCGUAGCCAAACCCAUACCCUCAGCCAGAGCAAGCAUGGAAACUACAGUCUAAGUUGAGGGGCAAAAACAGAACAAGGCAGUGCUUUCUAGUACAAGAGUUCCAGAUAGCCUAUAUAAUAGCAAGUACUGAAUAGUUUAGGGUGUCGGCCGCCCAUAUGAAGAAGGGGGUGUACUUUUGUGGCAUCUAUGUCGGAAGUUUUGAGAACCCAUAAAGCAGCAACAGCUGGUUUAUCCGGAACCUAAUUCCUAGGGGCUAGGGGAUAUUAUAUAGAAGAAACAAAAUCAGCAUAACCACGACCAAAAUCAACAUAGUUUCCACGUCAGAAGCUUAGAUCAGUUACUGCACUUGGCUGCAACUAUCAAGCAACUGGCCUAAUAAUGAUCGAAAGCUAUCCCCAAAGAAAUGACUUCAAGUUCAAAGGGAUGAAGAAUGUUCGAGAUAAUGCCAAGAAAAUAUGAAUGUCAAAAUUAAUAAUGGGAAAACAAAUUUGUUUUUCGCGCCUAGAGCUUAAAUCCAGCAAAGUAAUAUAGAAGAAUCACAUUGGAUUUAAUUCAGGGAAUGAGAAUGAGAAAAGGCUGAAAAUUAACACAUGCUGAAAAAUAAAUUUGCUCGCAUGGCCUAUAACUUUUCACAUCAAAACUGAUGACAUGUAUUGUCUUACAAUUUCUUUUAAAGCUAGAGAUACAACCAGGUUUAACCACCUUCAAACUUUGCGAGCUAAGGUCCUCUGUUUAGCUCCAUGCUCCACUACCUUUUUUUCGACAGGUAAGCCUUUCCGUUCCCUCACAGCAUCCAUGAGUUUUCUUGCUGUAUUGUGAAGAAUACUAGAACCAUCUCCAUGCUCUUCCUUCUCCUCUGCUGUUUCGGGUACAAAGAAAGGAUCCUCAGGAAGUUCUUCCCAGUGGCUAAGGGCAAGAAGAGCACUUGCAGCACCAGAAGUUUCUUUCCUAAGCUCAUCAGCAAAACCAAAACUUUCAGAAACAGGCAAAUAAGCAUGAACCGUGAAAAGUGCAGAACCUUCCUGCAUUUCCUCCUUCAGCACCCGGGCCCGCCUUCGGGAAACCACUCCAUACAUUUUACUCAAAGAAUCAACCGGUGUGUUCAACUCACAAAAAUACAUGGCUUCAACAAGUCGGGGUUUCUUCUUGAGCACAGCUUGUCUACAUGCAUCUUUAACAGCUGUCAUAACUUGCCCAGAGAAGAUGCCAUGCUGCUCAGAUUGUUGGGAAGUUUCAGAGUCAACAUAUUUCCCAGCCACAGAAGAGAUGUAAGCCUCAACAAUAAAAGCCAAUCCCCACAUUGGUUCAUCACAUAAAGGACCAGAUGCUGUAGCUAGCUGAAAUCCAGACACUAUGCUGCUCUCAAGAGACUGUGCUUCCACAAAUGAAGCUCGAUUAACUCCUGGAGGUAUCUCCUCAGCUGCAUCACCAUCAUCAGAGUUAUCCACAAAGCCUAAUCUCUCAGAUACAUGAGCAGAACCCCUUACAAGAACAGAGGACUCAGUAUCAAUUUGUUUAUCAUCUGGUUUGAAGAGGAUGUUAGGACCAAUCUGCCUUGGACCAAGCGCCCAAAUCCUCCUAAGAAGUUUCUGCCACUUUGCUUUACAUUUCUCCAUCCGAUACUGGUCAUUCUCAUUCCCAGCAGAAAUAUGAUCCUCCACGGCAUCCAUUAUGCGUUUUCUGAGAGCUUCAAUUGGGUUAUCGUCCUCACCACUGCUUGAUCUCUGGGUUUCCAAACUUUUAUUGGCUUGCCCUCCAAUAAUAAUUCCAAGCAAAUCAGCACACUCAUCAAGCACCUUAGUCACCGUAAAAGGAAGUUUCAUGACUUGCACUCGAACAACACAUCUCCCAUUUGGAGUUGUUUUCUCAAAAUAAUCUGAGCUCCCACUCAACAAUUUCACAUUCUGUAAUGGAUUAGAUGUAUCGCCCUCAAUGGUCUCUUUAUAGGACACAAGAGGCGGAGAGACUUCUAAACUUACCUUAGCAAACCUCUCCUUCAAAUCCUUUAUGCAUCUUUCCAGAUGAACCUCUCCUGCAGCAGCAAGUACAUUUUCCCCACGAGAUGAAACAGAAACCUCUACAAAUGGAUCUGCUCGAUUCAGAAGCCUCAAACCUUUCAUCAAAGCGCCCAUAUCUGCUGGAUCAGAUGGUUCAAUUGCAACUCUUAAAGUGGGGGAAACCUGGAAUACCAUACUCGAGAAAGGCCAACAGUUUCUUGUAGAUGAAAGAGUUGCACUCUUCAAUAUUUGUUGACCCAGGCCUCGGAUCGCCACAACAUUUCCUGCCUUGGCAGAUGCUACUGGUUUCAAGCCUUGACCCAUCAUUAGAUAUAAGGAUUGCAACUCUGCUUCUUGUAUGUGCUUCUGCAUUGAUUCCACCUUUAAUGGAUCAUACAAAGCUGAAAGCACAAAAACUCUUUGUCCUGAAUAAAGAACUCCACUAAAGAUUCUUGCAAAUGCAAGGAAGCACUCUUCUGAUUCACCAUUUCCACCUUUGUCAGCAUAAUUGUCCAAAAUCUCCCCAUUUGAACCUCGUUGAGGCAGCAUUUUGAUAGGGACAGCAAACAUCUUCGAAACGAAAGCAACACAUGGAGCUUCUGGGCUAGAAUUACAAACCUCAACUGACUUUCUCACAAAAUCAGCCUCUGUUAGUACAUUGCAAUCAACAUCAUUAUCCAAAAUCUCUCUUUUAGGAAGCAAACGGGAAAUCCGAUAGGAUUGAGCAGAAAUUGGGUCAGGUAUACAUUUCACUACCAUCGACAAGAUUGCAUCAGAUAGAGGGAGCCAAUGGCUCAGGACAGCCUGAAGCACAGCCUUUGGAUCCUUGUUCUGCAAUUCACGAGGUGGAAUAGACAAAUUAAAUGACUUAAUCACUUUCUCAAGCACCCCUUUAUCCCCAUCUGGUUCUAAAGCAGCCUGGUAAACCUGCCAUAAUGGCUCUAGAACAAACUGUACAAACAUGGGCCGAGCCUUAGUCCCUGUAAUUAUUCCCUUCUUCCCCACAAUCAUCUUUGUCUUCGGAUUGAAAUACCGAGGACCCCACAAAGCCUUCUCCAAUGCAGCAGUGCUUGCCCCAAGUUUUGUAGCAUAAAAUUCGGCAAACUCACUUAUGCUAAAACCCCAUCCAUCCAAUCCGCACACAAAUGCUACAUUACCCUUCUGGGGUUGAAAUGUAUCUUCCUCAUCAUCCUCUAUAAACUGAAGAUUCUCAUCGCCUAGCUUCUCUGAUGGCACCGAAAGUAAAGAAUCUACAUCAGACAAAUACUUCUCCGACUUAUACGCACUCAUAAUCCCAUUCACUUCAUGAACAAUCCUCAACAACCGGUUAUACGCUUCCAACGGAGUCAACUUCAACUCAGAAAUCAACCUAUCAAUCUUAUUAAGUACCAAACACGGAGUCAACUUCUCAAUCCAAGAUUGCCGCAAAACGGCAUGAGUCUGAAUGUGAACACCCUCAACAGCAUCAACCAACACCAAUCCACCAUCACUCAAACGAGCAGCGGUGGAAACCUCACUACAAAAGUCCAUAUGGCCAGGGGAGUCUAUAAGGUUAAUAGCAUAAUCUUUAUAAUGAAGAGCAAUCGAAGAGCUCUUCAUCGUAAUAGCACGCCUUUGUUCCUCAUCAAGAUAAUCCAUAAACCUAAGUUUACCAGCUAGUUUAGGGUGAAGUAAACCGCCGCUGGUGGCGGCAAUCAGAUGAUCAGCAAGUGUUGUUUUACCGUGAUCAACAUGAGCCAGUAUGCAUAUGUUUCGUAUUUUUCGUGUAUCAGAGUCACCCAUUUUAUCAAUUUAAUUCAAAGAGAAAAGAAAAAGAGGGGAAAAAAUGGGAUUUUUAACAGAAGAAAGUGAAAAUAAAACCCUUAAUAAUAAUAUUGAGGUUUGAUUAUUCUGUUGGGUUCUUUUCUGUGGAGAAUUGGUGAAACCCUAGAAUGGAAAGUGCAUUCGGUGUUGACGAGAGACAGAUGGUGAAAGUUGAAAAUACAAAAGCACAUUUUUUUAUUAAGGAAGUAGAGACUGGAGAUGGUACCCUUGUUCUUCUGAUCAAAACCGCGACGCUGCACGGCCGACGGCGGAAGAAAGAAAUUUCCGUUUUGGGUAUUAACGCGGAGACAAACAGCUUAGCUAAAUGGCAAGCUGUGCUCGUUGGGCUGGGCUGACGGGUUGCCGAAUUCUGAAAAGAGAAGCCUUUUGCCGCCCCUCAAAAU